GUGUAGUUUUCGAAGGCGUACUCCAAGGCGAUAAAAGAUACAUCUUC
rnacentral:sRNA from 1 species